rnacentral:misc_RNA from 1 species
GAUGAAGAACGCAGCGAAAUGCGAUAAGUAAUGUGAAUUGCAGAAUUCAGUGAAUCAUCGAAUCUUUGAACGCACAUUGCGCCCGCCAGCACUCUGGCGGGCAUGCCUGUUCGAGCGUCAUUUCAACCCUCAGGGCCCUUUUGGACCUGGCGUUGGGGCUCGGCCGCUACCCUGCGGCCGUCCCCGAAAGAUAGUGGCGGUCUCGCUGUAGCCUCCUCUGCGUAGUAGUUACAUCUCGCACUGGAACGCGGCGCGGCCAUGCCGUUAAACACCCCACUUCUCAAGGUUGACCUCGGAUCAGGUAGGAAUACCCGCUGAACUUAAGCAUAUCAAUAAGCGGAGGA